UGGGUCCAAUUGCUGGUGCUG
rnacentral:siRNA from 1 species